rnacentral:tRNA from 1 species
AGCAAUAAGAAAAUAAUAUUCACUUCUGAUUUACAAGACCAAUGUUCUAGGUUAAACUAUUAUUGC